CGGAGGUACUCGAGUGGCGAACGGGUGAGUAACACGUGGGCAAUCUGCCCUGCACUUCGGGAUAAGCCUGGGAAACUGGGUCUAAUACCGGAUAGGACCUCAAGACGCAUGUCUUCUGGUGGAAAGCUUUUGCGGUGUGGGAUGGGCCCGCGGCCUAUCAGCUUGUUGGUGGGGUGACGGCCUACCAAGGCGACGACGGGUAGCCGGCCUGAGAGGGUGUCCGGCCACACUGGGACUGAGAUACGGCCCAGACUCCUACGGGAGGCAGCAGUGGGGAAUAUUGCACAAUGGGCGCAAGCCUGAUGCAGCGACGCCGCGUGGGGGAUGACGGCCUUCGGGUUGUAAACCUCUUUCACCAUCGACGAAGGUCCGGGUUUUCUCGGAUUGACGGUAGGUGGAGAAGAAGCACCGGCCAACUACGUGCCAGCAGCCGCGGUAAUACGUAGGGUGCGAGCGUUGUCCGGAAUUACUGGGCGUAAAGAGCUCGUAGGUGGUUUGUCGCGUUGUUCGUGAAAUCUCACGGCUUAACUGUGAGCGUGCGGGCGAUACGGGCAGACUAGAGUACUGCAGGGGAGACUGGAAUUCCUGGUGUAGCGGUGGAAUGCGCAGAUAUCAGGAGGAACACCGGUGGCGAAGGCGGGUCUCUGGGCAGUAACUGACGCUGAGGAGCGAAAGCGUGGGGAGCGAACAGGAUUAGAUACCCUGGUAGUCCACGCCGUAAACGGUGGGUACUAGGUGUGGGUUUCCUUCCUUGGGAUCCGUGCCGUAGCUAACGCAUUAAGUACCCCGCCU
rnacentral:rRNA from 1 species